GUAAAUAUGUGUUCUUCGGAAUAUGCAUUUUCAAACCCCUCUGUGUACCUUACCUGUUGCUUCCGUGCUGCGUGGAUUUCGGUCCCCUCCUUUGCUGGAGUGUCGGCACGGCUAACAAAACUCUUGCAUUUCAUGUCAUCUGUCUGAACUGUUAAAUACAAAAAGUUAAAACUUUCAACAACGGAUCUCUUGGUUCUCGCAUCGAUGAAGAACGCAGCGAAAUGCGAUAAGUAGUGUGAAUUGCAGAAUUCAGUGAAUCAUCGAAUCUUUGAACGCACAUUGCGCCUCCUGGUAUUCCGGGAGGCAUGCCUGUUCGAGCGUCAUUAAAAUCAACUCGAGCUCUUUUGCUUGGUCAUGGAGGAAGAGACUGCCCGGCAGUCUCCCCUCCGAAAUUCAAUGGCGGAAGGUCACUGGUACCCGGCGUAGUAAUAAACGUUCGCUUUGUAUCCAGAGUCGUUCCUGCUGUACAACCCCCUUUCUAGUGAUUGACCUCGGAUCAGGUAGGGAUACCCGCUGAACUUAAGCAUAUCAAUAAGCGGAGGAAAAGAAACCAACAGGGAUUGCCUUAGUAACUGCGAGUGAAGCGGCAAAAGCUCAAAUUUGAAAUCGGCGUCCUUUUCGGGCAUCGAGUUGUAAUUUGGAGGGACAACUUCGGUACGGACUACAUCGUAAGUUCCUUGGAACAGGACGUCAUAGAGGGUGAGAAUCCCGUGUCUUGGUGUCUGGCCGUGCCAUGUGAAGUGUCUCCGACGAGUCGAGUUGUUUGGGAAUGCAGCUCAAAAUGGGUGGUAAAUUUCAUCUAAAGCUAAAUAUUGGCGAGAGACCGAUAGCGCACAAGUAGAGUGAUCGAAAGAUGAAAAGCACUUUGAAAAGAGAGUUAAAAAGUACGUGAAAUUGUUGAAAGGGAAGCGCUUGCGACCAGACUCGAUCUUUGGUGAUCAGCCGGGCUUCUGUCCGGUGCCCUUACCAUUGAUUGGGCCAGCAUCGGUUCUGACGGCGGGAUAAAAGGAGGAGGAAUGUGGCUCCCUUCGGGGAGUGUUAUAGCCUCCUUCACAAUGCCGCCAGUUGGGACCGAGGACCGCG
rnacentral:rRNA from 1 species